UACGAAGGGGGCUAGCGUUGCUCGGAAUUACUGGGCGUAAAGCGCACGUAGGCGGUCUUUUAAGUCGGGGGUGAAAUCCUGGAGCUCAACUCCAGAACUGCCUUCGAUACUGGAAGACUCGAGUCCGGGAGAGGUGAGUGGAACUGCGAGUGUAGAGGUGAAAUUCGUAAAUAUUCGCAAGAGCACCAGUGGCGAAGGCGGCUCACUGGCCCGGUACUGACGCUGAGGUGCGAAAGCGUGGGGAGCAAACAGG
rnacentral:rRNA from 1 species